AACGAACGCUGGCGGCAUGCCUAACACAUGCAAGUCGAACGAGACCUUCGGGUCUAGUGGCGCACGGGUGCGUAACGCGUGGGAAUCUACCCUCAGGUUCGGAAUAACUCAGAGAAAUUUGAGCUAAUACCGGAUGAUGACGUAAGUCCAAAGAUUUAUCGCCUGAGGAUGAGCCCGCUUAGGAUUAGGUAGUUGGUGAGGUAAAGGCUCACCAAGCCGACGAUCCUUAGCUGGUCUGAGAGGAUGAUCAGCCACACUGGGACUGAGACACGGCCCAGACUCCUACGGGAGGCAGCAGUGGGGAAUAUUGGACAAUGGGCGAAAGCCUGAUCCAGCAAUGCCGCGUGAGUGAUGAAGGCCUUAGGGUUGUAAAGCUCUUUUACCCGGGAUGAUAAUGACAGUACCGGGAGAAUAGGCUCCGGCUAACUCCGUG
rnacentral:rRNA from 1 species